CCUACGGGAGGCAGCAGUAGGGAAUUUUCGUCAAUGGGCGCAAGCCUGAACGAGCAAUGCCGCGUGAACGAGGAAGGUCUUCGGAUCGUAAAGUUCUGUUGAAGGGGAAACAGAGCGGAGAGAGGAAAUGAUCUCUGAUUGAUAUUACCCUUCGAGGAAGUCACGGCUAACUACGUCCCAGCAGCCGCGGUAAUACGUAGGUGGCGAGCGUUAUCCGGAAUGAUUGGGCGUAAAGGGUGCGUAGGCGGCCUGCUAAGUCUGGAGUGAAAGGUACCGGCUCAACCGGUACAGGCUCUGGAAACUGGCGGGAUAGAGAGCAGGGGAGGGCUGUAGAACUCCAUGUGUAGCGGUAAAAUGCGUAGAUAUAUGGAAGAACACCAGUGGCGAAGGCGGCCGCCUGGCCUGUUGACGGACGCUGAGGCACGAAAGCGUGGGGAGCAAAUAGGAUUAGAUACCCUAGUAGUC
rnacentral:rRNA from 1 species